rnacentral:rRNA from 1 species
AUUGAACGCUGGCGGCAUGCCUUACACAUGCAAGUCGAACGGUAACGGGCCUUCGGGUGCCGACGAGUGGCGAACGGGUGAGUAAUGUAUCGGAACGUACCUUUCAGUGGGGGAUAACGUAGCGAAAGUUGCGCUAAUACCGCAUAUUCUGUGCGCAGGAAAGCAGGGGAUCGCAAGACCUUGCGCUGAUUGAGCGGCCGAUGUCAGAUUAGCUAGUUGGUGGGGUAAAGGCCUACCAAGGCGACGAUCUGUAGCGGGUCUGAGAGGAUGCUCCGCCACACUGGAACUGAGACACGGUCCAGACUCCUACGGGAGGCAGCAGUGGGGAAUUUUGGACAAUGGGGGCAACCCUGAUCCAGCCAUGCCGCGUGAGUGAAGAAGGCCUUCGGGUUGUAAAGCUCUUUCGGCCGGGAAGAAAUCGCAUGGGCUAGUACCCUGUGCGGAUGACGGUACCGGCAUAAGAAGCACCGGCUAACUACGUGCCAGCAGCCGCAGUAAGAC